rnacentral:rRNA from 1 species
AAAGCGCCCGUAGCCGGCCCGGCAAGUCCCCACUGAAAUCCCCGGGCUCAACCCGGGGACGGGUGGGGAUACUGCCGGGCUAGGGGGCGGGAGAGGCCGAGGGUACUCCCGGGGUAGGGGCGAAAUCCGAUAAUCCCGGGAGGACCACCAGUGGCGAAGGCGCUCGGCUGGAACGCGCCCGACGGUGAGGGGCGAAAGCCGGGGGAGCGAACCGGAUUAGAUACCCGGGUAGUCCCGGCUGUAAACGAUGCGGGCCAGGUGUUGGGCGGGCUUUGAGCCCGCCCAGUGCCGCAGGGAAGCCGUUAAGCCCGCCGCCUGGGGAGUACGGCCGCAAGGCUGAAACUUAAAGGAAUUGGCGGGGGAGCACCACAAGGGGUGGAGCCUGCGGCUUAAUUGGAGUCAACGCCGGGAAUCUUACCGGGGGCGACAGCAGGAUGACGGCCAGGCUAACGACCUUGCCUGACGCGCUGAGAGGAGGUGCAUGGCCGUCGCCAGCUCGUGCCGUGAGGCGUCCGGUUAAGUCCGGCAACGAGCGAGAUCCCCACCCCCAGUUGCUAUCCCGGUCUCUGGACCGGGAGCACACUGGGGGGACUGCCGCCGAUAAGGCGGAGGAAGGAGGGGGCCACGGCAGGUCAGCAUGCCCCGAAUCCCCCGGGCUGCACGCGGGCUACAAUGGCGGGGACAGCGGGUGCCGACCCCGAAAGGGGGAGGUAAUCCCUGAAACCCCGCCGUGGUUGGGAUCGAGGGCUGAAACUCGCCCUCGUGAACGUGGAUCCC